rnacentral:rRNA from 1 species
GAUGAACGCUAGCUACAGGCUUAACACAUGCAAGUCGAGGGGAAACGAUAGAGAAAGCUUGCUUUUUCUAGGCGUCGACCGGCGCACGGGUGAGUAAAGCGUAUCCAACCUGCCCAUCACUUGGGGAUAACCUUGCGAAAGUAAGACUAAUACCAAAUGACGUCUCUAGAAGACAUCUGAAAGGGAUUAAAGAUUUAUAGGUGAUGGAUGGGGAUGCGUCUGAUUGGCUUGUUGGCGGGGUAACGGCCCACCAAGGCGACGAUCAGUAGGGGUUCUGAGAGGAAGGUCCCCCACAUUGGAACUUAGACACGGUCCAAACUCCUACGGGAGGCAGCAGUGAGGAAUAUUGGUCAAUGGACGAGAGUCUGAACCAGCCAAGUAGCGUGCAGGAUGACGGCCCUAUGGGUUGUAAACUGCUUUUAUAAGGGAAUAAAGUGAGAGUCGUGACUCUUUUUGCUUGUACCUUAUGAAUAAGGACCGGCUAAUUCCGUGCCAGCAGCCGCGGUAA